GAUGAACGCUGGCGGCGUGCUUAACACAUGCAAGUCGAACGGAAAGGCCCAAGCUUGCUUGGGUACUCGAGUGGCGAACGGGUGAGUAACACGUGGGUGAUCUGCCCUGCACUUCGGGAUAAGCCUGGGAAACUGGGUCUAAUACAGGAUAGGACGAUGGUUUGGAUGCCAUUGUGGAAAGUUUUUUCGGUGUGGGAUGAGCUCGCGGCCUAUCAGCUUGUUGGUGGGGUAAUGGCCUACCAAGGCGUCGACGGGUAGCCGGCCUGAGAGGGUGUACGGCCACAUUGGGACUGAGAUACGGCCCAGACUGCUACGGGAGGCAGCAGUGGGGAAUAUUGCACAAUGGGCGCAAGCCUGAUGCAGCGACGCCGCGUGGGGGAUGACGGCCUUCGGGUUGUAAACUCCUUUCGCUAGGGACGAAGCGUUUUUGUGACGGUACCUGGAGAAGAAGCACCGGCUAACUACGUG
rnacentral:rRNA from 1 species